AACGAACGCUGGCGGCAUGCCUAACACAUGCAAGUCGAACGAGACCUUCGGGUCUAGUGGCGCACGGGUGCGUAACGCGUGGGAACCUGCCCUUAGGUUCGGAAUAACUCCCCGAAAGGGGUGCUAAUACCGGAUAAUCUCUUCGGACCAAAGAUUUAUCGCCUUUGGAUGGGCCCGCGUUGGAUUAGCUAGUUGGUAGUGUAAAAGCCUACCAAGGCGACGAUGCAUAGCUGGUCUGAGAGGAUGAUCAGCCACACUGGGACUGAGACACGGCCCAGACUCCUACGGGAGGGAGCAGUGGGGAAUAUUGGACAAUGGGCGAAAGUCUGAUACAGCAACGCCGCGUGAGUGAUGAAGGGCUUAGGGUUGUAAAGCUCUUUUACCCGGGAUGAUAAUGACAGUACCGGGAGAAUAAGCUCCGGCUAACUCCGUG
rnacentral:rRNA from 1 species